UAUCUCUUCAAGUACAUCAUAAUCGGC
rnacentral:piRNA from 2 species